UACAGAGGAGCCAAGCGUUGUCCGGAUUGACUGGGCGUAAAGCGCACGCAGGCGGUUGCGCGCGUGGGGUGUGAAAUCUGGCCGCUUAACGGCCAGGCGCCAUCCCAUACGGCGCGACUGGAGUGAUGCAGAGGUCGAUGGAAUUGCCGGUGUAGUGGUGAAAUGCGUAGAGAUCGGGAGGAACAUCAGUGGCGAAGGCGGCCAUCUGGGACAACACUGACGCUGAAGCACGAAAGCGUGGGGAGCAAACAGG
rnacentral:rRNA from 1 species